GAUGAACGCUAGCUACAGGCUUAACACAUGCAAGUCGAGGGGCAGCAUGGUCUUAGCUUGCUAAGGCCGAUGGCGACCGGCGCACGGGUGAGUAACACGUAUCCAACCUGCCGUCUACUCUUGGACAGCCUUCUGAAAGGAAGAUUAAUACAAGAUGGCAUCAUGAGUUCACAUGUUCACAUGAUUAAAGGUAUUCCGGUAGACGAUGGGGAUGCGUUCCAUUAGAUAGUAGGCGGGGUAACGGCCCACCUAGUCUUCGAUGGAUAGGGGUUCUGAGAGGAAGGUCCCCCACAUGGGAACUGAGACACGGUCCAAACUCCUACGGGAGGCAGCAGUGAGGAAUAUUGAUCAAUGGGCGAGAGCCUGAACCAGCCAAGUAGCGUGAAGGAUGACUGCCCUAUGGGUUGUAAACUUCUUUUAUAAAGGAAUAAAGUCGGGUAGGUAUACCCGUUUGCAUGUACUUUAUGAAUAAGGAUCGGCUAACUCCGUG
rnacentral:rRNA from 1 species